GUUUGGUAGAAAAUUCAAAUAAAAUGUGAAUUUCAUUGUUGAAUGUACGUAAUAUGACGACCUCGCGAAAUCUGCAAAAUAGUUGCCAAAUUUUUAGCAGAAAAAAAUUAAGAAAUACAGAGAUGUGUGGGUUAAGCUAUGGAUUAGUCGUCGAUCUAUUUUGUAUGUUUUUGUAAAACUUCUAGGAGAACUAUUAACUUAAGAUCCUGCAAGCAACAAAAAUUAUCUUCGAAUGACAAAACAACAUUUUGAUACUCCUCUGGAUUGUGUGACGCCACGUAUUGGGAAAACGAAUAUCCACUUGAGAGACGCAUUAACACCAAAAGUAGAAUUGGUCAUAUUAGGAUAUCUUGCAACAGGAGAUUCCUUCACUUCCCAAAAAACUCAAUGUCAAAGUUUAUCCCUGAAGUUUGUGAAAAAAGAAGAAAUAUAUGUAAAUUUAUGUUAUAUUUAGAAUCUUAAUAAAUAAAAGAUCUUUAUAUUUCUUA